UUGGAUGUUACUAAUGAUGUUCAUUGAUUGGUCUUAUGUUUGAAUUCAUGAAAGAGCAAUUCAUAAAAGGAAUAAAGAAAAAAAACACCACUGACAAGAAAUAAUACUUUCUUCUUUCCUGUAGUGCUGUUUUAUAUGAUACAUCCAAGUUCUUGAGUUCUUUCCUUUAAGAUCCUUUCAGAUUGGAAGUCCAACAAGAGUUCCAAAAGCUUUCAUUGCUGAGCUCCUCGUUUGUUCUGCUGCUUUUGGCUGCUUAGAAGUCGACUUCUGCAGCCUUUGACUUCCCCCACGCACAACUUAUCACUUGUGGAGCUUGCAACUCGGAAUCCAUGGUCGUCCCAAUCCACUAAGCUGUACUGCAAGGUGAUUGAGCUCCGAUGAAGUGAGGUCAAUGAGGAUAAAUGGUAAAGGUGACUGUUUCCUUUCUUUGACUGGGGUCAUUCCUCAUGGUGGUGUCUAGAUUUCUGAGAGGUUGUCUUCUUUCAAGCCUAAGGUUAGGUGUGGCUGUAUUUUCUAGCUAAUGGCUUCUAAGUCAGAAAGUUUGUUUGUCUACUCUGAACAAGAUUUUUGUCUUUACAAGUUGUAAUCUUUGACUUGCAGGAGUUUUCUCUUCUGGCUUUUUAAUGUA